UUCUGGUUAGUUUAGUGGCUAUGACGGCGCCUUGUCAUCUUAGAUGAAGACGCCCGGCGCAGACCCGGGUUCAAUUCCCGGACCGGAAG